AAAAACUCAAUUCCUGGGUUUUUGUGUUCAACGUUUGACUGUCCGUCUUAUAUCAAAUAUUUUUAUGAUUAGUAUUUUCAUUGUUGUUAGAUGAUAAAACAUGAAUAAUACUUUAUGCGUAACUUAUCCUUUUAAAUUUUUUUAUAUUUUUUUAAAUAAAACGGAUGAUCAAACGUUGGACGCGGAAACCUAAUAAUUGAGUUAUU
rfam:Oryza sativa (indica cultivar-group) chromosome 3, whole genome shotgun sequence.